rnacentral:rRNA from 1 species
GAUGAACGCUGGCGGCGUGCUUAACACAUGCAAGUCGAACGAUGAAGCCCAGCUUGCUGGGUGGAUUAGUGGCGAACGGGUGAGUAACACGUGAGCAACCUGACCCUGACUCUGGGAUAAGCGCUGGAAACGGCGUCUAAUACUGGAUAUGUCCCGUCACCGCAUGGUGUGCGGGUGGAAAGCUUUGUCGGUUGGGGAUGGGCUCGCGGCCUAUCAGCUUGUUGGUGAGGUAACGGCUCACCAAGGCGUCGACGGGUAGCAGGCCUGAGAGGGCGACCGGCCACACUGGGACUGAGACACGGCCCAGACUCCUACGGGAGGCAGCAGUGGGGAAUAUUGCACAAUGGGCGAAAGCCUGAUGCAGCAACGCCGCGUGAGGGAUGACGGCCUUCGGGUUGUAAACCUCUUUUAGCAGGGAAGAAGCGAAAGUGACGGUACCUGCAGAAAAAGCACCGGCUAACUACGUGCCAGCCGCCGCAGUAAGAC